CUUCAUCCCAUGGAGGAGGUGUCCAGAGAAGCUUGACCCAGGAUCCUCAGGGUUUGCUGAGCACUCUAGGGCAAGAGGAAGGUGAGCUUGGAGGACACAGGGUGUGUUUAGAGACCUCCAAGGCUACAGCAGGGAUCAAGGAAUUAAGACCUGGCAUGAUGUCAAAGAAGAUGAAAACACCUUCAGGCCUCCAGAAAGGAGAAGGAUGUGGGAGGUUUCUUGUUUGAAAGUUGAAGACUCUUUAAUCUAGAAAUGCGUUUGACAAAGUUCUCCAAGAUGCCCUGUGGGUAGCAUUCCUUCCCUGGACCUCAGAGGACUGACUGAUGGAAAUGAACAGGAC
rnacentral:lncRNA from 1 species